GCAAAAUUUGUCACUCUUCUUCUCUUCUCCAUAAUAAAAUUCUUUCAAAUCUCAUAUAACCGCCAAAACUCCUUAAUUUUUCUUGCGGCCAUGGAAACUGAAACUGAAAUGCUCAAUACUUACUUCACAAAUGGGGCAGAAGUUGAGAUUAGCAGUGAUGAGGACGGUUUUCGAGGCGCGUGGUAUGAGGGAAUAGUGGUUCGACCCAUUCAGAAGAAACA
rnacentral:misc_RNA from 1 species